AAAGAUGUUUCUAAAGACCUUAUGCAUUGUUUUUUGGGUUGUAAAUCCAACUUCAAGAUAAAAUCAAAUCUUUCUACAAUCAAAUAUCUAAUAUAUUUAUAUGUUGAUUUUUACAUAACAUGAUAUCAUAUAUUUAGAAAGCCAAACUAGUCUAGACCUUUAAAUUUCUAAUAGUUAUCUUAUUUAUUGGUUGCAUAUCUUGAAUGAAUCUAGGUACCCCAAACUUCUUUGGCAUAGUAAACCAUGAAUUGAAGUAAGGUGCAACUAAUAGUUUGAAGAUGCCUAUCUUGAUUUUUUUUUUAAUAAAUCUAUUAAUUUAGAAAAAAAAAUUUAAGCAUUGAAAUAGGCUUCAAAUUCCAAAAUACAUGAAAAAUGGUAAAAAUAACUAUAAGUACUACUAUAUUAGGAUCUAUACAACCAAUUUCUUUGGAUGUAUAUGCAAUAGUCUUAUCAU
rnacentral:lncRNA from 1 species